UAAUUAAUAAUAUAAAUAUUACACAAGGGACAUUGAGUAACUUAAUUUCACUCUGUUUCGGAAAUUUUAUGUUGGUAAUAAUGGUCAAAAGGUGGUAAGAUAUCUAUACAAAAAUUCUUUUAUCAAUGAUCUGUAUUAUUAAUAUUGUCAUUAGCUACUUCAUACUAUCUUAGGAAAAACUAUGGCCCUUUUAUAGUUUUUGGCUUAUGCAUAAGAAUUCUAUUUGGUCUGAACAUAUACAUCAUCAUGUAUUAGUUUGUAAGCAGAGUGAAUUAGAAAGGAGAAUAUGGAAUAUUAUAAAUGGAAAACCAAUGUUUCCAGAAUAUUCUUCAAAUUUGGAAAAGCUUAAGUUGGAACACUUGAUAGCAGCUUUCGUUAUACUUGGAUUUGGAAUAGGAGCUGCAACUCUAG